GCGAAGCAAGACUGCGCCGCUGCCAGUCCAGAUCUGCGGCGCCGUUGCUCUUCCGUCGCUGCAACCGUCGGCCGCCAUCUCUGUUCGCGAAGCAAGGCCGCCGCGUGAACCUGUAACCGCCGGCUGUCUCCCCUCUCCUUUCUCCUCUGUUUUCAGCCCAGCCGCCGCCGAUUCCUUCUCCUCCGUCGUCUGCACUGCCGCGCGACUCUCCGGCCAUCUGUAUACGGUCUCUCCGUCGCACGUCAUCUCUUCGCAAAGCCACUGCUCGAUUUCUUUCGUGAAGAUUUGGGUUCGUUCUUCAUAGACUUCAACGUGGUUAAGGAGCUUAACAAAUUUGAAGGCAAAGGUAAUAAAGGCGGCAAACCGGCGAGGGGCAGGAAGGAAGCGUGAUGCCAUAGGAAAC